rnacentral:rRNA from 1 species
UGCCAGCAGCCGCGGUAAUACGAGUGCCCCAAGCGUUACCCGGAAUCACUGGGUUUAAAGGGUGCGUAGGCGGCGCUAUAAGUCAGAGGUGAAAGGCCACAGCUUAACUGUGGGACUGCUUUGAUACUGUAGUGCUUGAAUUAGGCUGAGGUCGGCGGAAUGUGACAUGUAGCGGUGAAAUGCUUAGAUAUGUCAUAGAACACCAAUUGCGAAGGCAGCUGACUAGACCUUAAUUGACGCUGAGGCACGAAAGCGUGGGGAGCGAACAGGAUUAGAUA